AAGGCUCGUGGGCUGUAAACUCCUUUUCCCAGAGAAGAAGUCUGACGGUAUUUGGGGAAUAAGCAUCAGCUAACUGCGUGCCAGCAGCUGCGGUAAUACGUGGGAUGCAAGCGUUAUCCGGAUUUAUUGGGCGUAAAGCGUCUGUAGGUGGCUUCUCAAGUUUGUUGUUAAAGAAUUCAGCUCAACUGGAUUUCAGCAUCAAAAACUAAUUAGCUCGAGUAAAGUAGAGGAAAAGGGAAUUCCCUGUGGAGCGGUGAAAUGCGUAGAGAUAGGGAAGAACACCAACGGCGAAGGCACUUUUCUGGGCAUUUACUGACACUGAGAGACGAAAGCUAGGGGAGCGAGUAGGAUUAGAUACCCUAUUAGUCCUAGCCGUAAACGAUGGAAACUACAUUUUGAUGGCGGAAGAUUGCAAAAUCUUGCUGAGGCAGAAUGGUAGCUAACGCGAUAAGUUUCCCGCCUGGGAAGUAUGCUCGCAAGAGUGAAACUCAAAGGAAUUGACGGGAGCCCGCACAAGCGGUGGAGCAUGUGGUUUAAUUCGAUGCAACACGAAGAACCUUACCAGGGCUUGACAUGUCGUA
rnacentral:rRNA from 1 species